GGAAGUGCCUCGCGACGCGGGGCCGCCACCGCCGCCGGGCCGAGGGAGGGCCCGGCAACCGCCGCCUGCGCGCCGGCUGCCCCUCGGCUCCUGGGAGCCGCGGCGCUACGGGCCUGCCGAGCACUCGGGCGGGCGCCGAGCAGGCUGGGCCCCGGCGCAGUGGCCUAGCCUGGACCGCAAGGCCGAAGCCGCCUCCGGGCCGCGUCCCGGUGUUUCGGGUUGUGUAACCUUGGCCAAAAUGCUUAAGCUUUUUUCCUGGCUGCCAAAUGGGGCCGAUCGUCUGACCUGCUGCCUCCGGAACUUGAGGGAUCAGAUCAAAUAACCCUUUCCUGGCGCUCGUCUGCCGCUGUGAAUGAAUCACGGGCUCCUGUAAUCACCGUUAGGAGAGAUUGUUAAACUCGUACAGGGUUGGAUGUUUUAAAGUUACUGAAUAUUUACUGGACCCCUACUGUUCAAUCAAGACAUGCUAAGUUAGCUUGCCAUUCUUGUUCAUUUAUGUGUUUACUUAACUAUUUCUGGGUCUCCUCUUCCCAGUCAUAAAUAUCUCUUGGAGUGUAAGCUCCUCGGAGCAGAGAUCCUGUUUCCGUAUUUCCUGUACCUAGAACAGUGCCAGAUCCGUAGUAGACACUGAAACAAAAAAUCUUUAAAAAAAAAAAAAUAUACGAAUGUGGCACCACCAUUUACACAGGCCACUAAGCCAAAAAUCUCGAACUUGUCAGAUUGUCUCUUCUCAGCCAUCAGCAGUCAACAAGUUCUAGCAUUUGGUCUCUUAAAAGUGGUUCAAGAGUUUAUUUUUCCUCUCCUUCCUCUGCCAGUACCAACCAGUCUUCCGUAUCACUAUGUAUUGCAAGAGUCUCACAAGAAGAUAUCCAUCACUGACUGAUCUUCCUCCCGUUUAACAUCCCCAACAGGUGCCAGGGUGAUGUUUUUUUUAUUCUAAAAAGAAACCAGAUUAUAUCGCUCACUCCCUUGCUUAAAACAGUUCUUCAAUGUUAGGUAAAUAAAUCAUGGAGUCACCACGAGGGCGUUCAUCUGCCAGGCACUAUUCUGAACGAUAUUGGCUCAUUAAAUUCUCACAGAAACCCUAUGCAGCAGGUACGGUGAAAAUGUUCCUGUUACAGAUGAGGUAACUGAAGCACAGAGAGCUUGAGUGGCUUGCUGAAACACCAGACCCACUCAGUCUGGCUCCAUAAUAGGUCUUUUUGCUGGUAAUGAUUUACCAACUAUACAGCCACUUUAAAAAAAGGAAAUAGGUAAGUACUGGCAUGGAAUGAUAACCAAGAGGUUCUGUUAAAUUUUCAAGUUGAAGAAAAUAAGAGUUUAACUUCAUUUUAUAUGGCAAUAUGUUAGUCUGCCCAUAGAAAACAAUCUGAAAGAUUAUAACAAACUACUAUCAGUGGUUAACUUUCUACUUUGUACAUGCCUAUAAAUGUUUGGUUAUUUUUUACAGUGAGCAUGUGCUAACUAUGUAAUCAGAAAAAAAGUUCCCUGCUAAAGGAUAAAGUCCAAAUUUUUGCCUAUUUUAUCCCUAAUUUAUUUCCCUAACUUUACCUUCCACCAAUUUCUAUGCUCUGCAUUCACCCGUAUAUAUUUUUACACCUCUGUGCCUUUGCUCUUUAUACUCCCUUUAUCUGGCAUGCUCUGCUUCACCUUGUGCCUUAGAUAUUAUCCUUUCAGACCUAGCUGAUGAUCACCUCCUCAGUGAAACCUUGCAUGAUCCCUUGAGAAAUGGAGCAUUCCUUCUUUGGGAUUUCAAUAGCAUUUGGCGUGUUGUGUUGUAAUUAUCUAUUCACAUUUCCUCUUCUACACUGCAUUCGGACCUUUUUGAUUGCAGGGACUAUGAUUUGUUUGUCUUUAUAUCUGUCCCAGCUGCUGAGAUAGUGCUUGUCACAUCAUAGGUAUUCAACUCUUUGCUGAAUGAAUGAAGACAUUAACAAGUGAAAAGUCAAAUAGCAUAGCAAGAUUUGAAGAAUGCUUUCUAGAUAGUGUAAGAAACAUCACAAAGCAGUACAUGAUUAAUUGCUGAAUGAAUCAUACACCAGUAAUUGCUGUAGAAAUCAGAGGAGGCAUCUUAUACAUCUUUGUAUAUCCUCCCGAGCACCUAGCAGGGUGACUUGCUCAUAGUGAAAGCUCAGUCAAUUCUGUGAAUGAAUAAUCACUGCUCUUGAAUGAAGUGAUGAUGUGCAAUUGAAGAACAAGCCGUGUAAGUGCUACAUUAAGAUGGAUGUGUAGUUUCUUAAGUAUCCAUCACCACCCUCCACAGAUUUGAGGUAGUAUGCAUGUGGCAGGUGUUUUGGGGAGGACUGGGUUGGCAAAUGCUUGGAGGUAGGGAGGACACAAGAAAAAGUAUAUUCAUUUAGGGAGGAUAGAUUAAAACCAGGAAACUACACACACAACAAAGAACAGGCAUGACAGUGUACUUUUAAAAAGGAACACAAAAGCUGGCCAACUGUGCAAAUGGUCAACAGGCAGUAAAAGCAAUGGGCAAUGAGAGAAGUGGAAAGAAACCCUAUUUCAGAGGAGUAUUUGGGAAAAUUUAAUGGAUGGAAGAGCAGGUAGAGCCAUUAAUUCAACGAUUAUUUAUUAAGCCUCUACUAUGUACCAGGCACUCUGGUAGGUACUAGGGGAAUUAUGCUGAUAAAUGGCAUUAGGUGAUACAAGUCUGACAGCAGUAGGUGUGGAAAGAAGGAAAGGGAGAUAAAGUAACUGAUUAGAGUAAAAGAAGUGUGGCUUCAAAGAUCCUAGGUGCCUGAUGACCUCAACAGGACAAAACAGGGCUCAGGUCACCAUCAAAAUUAGGGUUGUUUCACUAAACUGGGGAGUGAAAAACAUUAACAUACCUUAUUUCACCACUUAUUUCAUCUGGGUGAAUGACCUCAUUCCCUGACACCAAAAAGGAUGGCAGCGGUGGGGAGAAAAUGCCGGUGAAAGGCAUUUCCCACCUCCCCCAGUGGCUAUACAGCCUCUUUUCUAUGGUAGCUCUAAUAAGACUCCAUUUUGGUUAAAGAGCUUAUGACCAGCAAGCAAUCCAGAAAACCAAAAUGUCAGUCUUUUAUUUUCAUUCUGGGUAAACAUGAUCAUCAAAACUAUUAGGUAUGGGGGCUAGGCACAGUGGCUCACCCCUGUAAUCCCAGUACUUUGGGAGGCCGAGGUGGGCAGACUGCUUGAGCUCAGGAGUUCAAGACCAACCUGGACAACAGAGUGACACCUCUGUCUCUUCAAAAAAUACAAAAAAAAAAAAGUAUCUGGGCAUGCUGGCACGUGCCUGUGGUCCCAGCUCCUCAGGAGGCUGAGGUAGGAAGAUGGCUUGAACCUGGGAGGUGGAGGUUGCAGUGAGCUGAUUGUGCCACUGCACUCCAGCCUGGGUGACAGAGCCAGACCCUGUCUCAAAAAAAAAAAAAAAAAAAAAGUAUUAGGGUAUGGAUUGACCACAUAUCUUCUGAUUUCUAUCAUCAGCUACUUUUUCUUUGAAAUUCUAUUUCUUCCUUCUACUUUGUUAUGUUUGUCUUGCCAGUUAUGUACUUCAGCAGGGUGGGCGACAGUUCGUCUAUUGCUAUUUGCCAUUUUCCACCUCCACCGUUUCUGUUCUGGCUGUAAUGUUCUAGACACAGAUCUUCAUGAUUGCUCUGAGUUCUUUCUUUAGGAAGCCAUUACUGAGAACAUUUAGUUCUUGGACUGAAGAGCAACUAAGGCCAUUAGUUUCUUUGUGUGGUUCCUCUUUCACUGUCUCUCAGUUUUUUAACUGAUAUAACAGUGAGACAGAGCAAGGAACAGCAGGUGCCACAUAAUAAAAAGAGCCUUGCCAAUUAGGUGGUGAUGCCACUAAGGCUGUCUCCCUGCUUCUUCCGACAAAGCGAUUCCACACCCUCUUUCUGAGACUUAGACUUAACAGAGUUGAAGAGACCUAGACUGUUACCAAAGACACAACUCUCCACUUCGUAGGUGAUGAAACAUAGAACAAGGUAGUCAAGUUAUGUGAACUCGUCAAGUAAGUAGCACACCAAAAUAAAAGACCAGGUUUCCUGGCUUCCGAAACAAUCUCUUCCCUAUACCAUGCUAACUCUUACUGCAGAGAUAGCAAAGACAUUUUAUCCUAAAUGGGCUUUGGCGACUAGCCUAAAUAUUAAAUUUGAACUCAAUUGAACAUGGACACAAACGAUGGUCACCAAGUCCCAGAACGGAUUGUGUGAGCUCUUUGAGGCGUUCAUCCAGCGUUGUUUCGGAGAAAUCUCUAUUUCAAUCUAUUCCUAUACAUUAGUUAUUGAAAAACAAUAGACAACCGCAAAAACAAGUUGACCUUUUUGUGUUCCUUGAUCCUGGUCACAAAGGGCCCUUGUGACUGGACCUCAUGCCAAACAACUCGUUACAAAAAGAGCUAGGGUUCCAGACUGCGCCGAAGCUUCAUGAGACCUCUCCUUGUCUGCAUGGACGAGUGGCCAACUCUGGAGCCCAGGCUGUUGCUUCCCAGUCUGGUGGUGAAUCCUCCAUAGUCUGGUGAGUGUAAAUACAUAUAUAUAUCUUUUCCCUUCUCCCUUCCCAUUGCAAUUUGCUUAUUAUAUCAUUUGCUUAUAUCUGCACUGCCAUUUGGGAUAAAGCUUGUUUACCCUUAAAGGUAUUGUGUGUGUGUCUCCUCCCGCGCGCAUUUCCCACACAGAACACCUAAGAACCUAUUUUUUAUGAUUUUUACGAGAAGUGAAUUCCAAGUUGUGCCUCAGAAUUCAGAAUAUAUCUUUCAACCUCCUACUCAUCCCCUCACCACCCUGGUGAACACAGUGUCUGGCCAGCAGGAAUGAAUGAAGAAGACUAUUUUAUGUUCUUAAUAACUUGCUUGGAAAUGAACAGAGCACAAUUUAUCAAACCAAAGCAAAUAUUUAUACAGGCAGAUCCCUUAAAAUUGAGGAUUAAUGCUUAGGAAGAAUUUUUUAGAAUUUUCCAAAUUAACCACUUGUCUUUCUCAGAAAUAAAUCUGUUACUGAUGCUUCCUCCACCAACCAGCUGCAAAACCACACACUAUUCUUUGAAGGAGGAACACAGAAAACCAACUUACUUCCUGGGGCAUUUGGGAGAGGAAUCUAAAAAUCCUAGUGAUAUGGCAAUGACUAGAACCUUUUUUUUUUUUGUAACAACAAAGCUAAAAGGGGAUGUGUAACUUAGCUUGACUUGUAAAAAUAUUCGUAGAAGUCAUCUAUAUUUUACCACUUUGUGUAACUAAGGCAGAGCAUUAGAGAUUAUUCACAUCAUUAAAUAUGUCCAGUUAAAUUAUUAGAUUACAACACCAACCUCUUGUUCAUAGUCUCUCAGUCUUCAGCUGGGCACGGGGGCUCACGCCUGUAAUGCCACCACUUUGGGAUGCCGAGACGGGCGGAUCACUUGAGGUCAGGAGUUUGAGACCAACCUGGGCAACAUGGUGAAACCCCGUCUCUACUAAAAAUACAAAAAUUAGCUAGGCGUGGUGGCAGGUGCCUAUAAUCCCAGCCACUCGGGAGGCUGAGGCGGGAGAAUCACUGGAACCCAAGAGGUGGAAAUUGCAGUAAGCCAAGAUGGCACCACUGCACUCCAGCCUGGGUGACAAGAGCAAAACUCUUGUCUCAAAAAAAAAAAAAAAAAAAUAGUCUCUCAGUCUUCAUACUUUGUUGCUUAGUUGGAUUAUCUGCUCCUAGGUUUUAAUAUAAGAUGAAAUAAAAGUGCUGGCCUAGGAAUUGGAGGCCAAUUUACCUUAGGGGCAAAGGCAAUGGUGGUGAAUAUACCCAACAGCUUCACUUUCUAUGGAGCCAGCUUGUAAAAUCUUGGGCAAGGAUGGUGGCAGCAGAGCUGUCUGCCUAAGCAUCAUGUAGAAAAUUUUUUAAUGGUUUCUUUGGACCCUAGCUUGCAGUGUCAUUUCUGCUUCUCAUUGUAUUGGAAAUCCAUGGUUUUGUUACAUAAUGUACUCCUAAAAAUGUAUACACAUGUGUUGAGUAUGUGGAAGUUGAAUAUAUUUAUGUUAUAAAUGAGCAGUUCUGUUUCUGGAAAAUGAAAAUUUUCACCUCAUCACUACAGACAUUCUUUGAUAACACAGUCCCAGUGUUUCAUCCAGAUUAUUUCAUUUUCUUCUUUUACAUAUAACCAACCAUUUUGGAUGUUAAAGGAACAACCAGUGAGGGCUUAAGAUCUGCUGCUUUUGACUUGGCACUCCUGAUCAGUUCCAUCCGUGUCUCAAGUGUAUCACAUUCACGAGACAAGGCUUCUCAUCAGCAAUUUCAAUUUUAUGUUUUCUACUUAUUUUUAUAUAAGAAUACAAUGCAACAAAAUAUUCAUAUAUUGCACAAACAGUGAUGUGCAUACAAAGAUGCUAACAACAUUGGCUGGUAAUAGGCUUUACCAUGUUACGAUCUAAAUGCUUGUUCAUCAGAGAAUGUACAAAAUUCUAAGUUUGGCAUCCAAAAGGGGGCUUACAGUUAUUGAAUAUUUUUCCCAGCCCUAUUUUAAAUCAAAUUCAAGUUUGCCUAUGACAAAGACUGUCUAUAAGUAACAGGGCAAGCAUACCAACAUCAAAAUUAUUCUUCUUCUUAUCUCACGUGCCCCUAUUUCUCCCAAAUAAGUGACAAGGAGAGUAAAAGGAUCACUGAGGGAACAUUUGAAGAAUGCUACUAAGUGCCAGGUCCUGUACAAGGUAAUUAAUUACUACAAACACUCUCGUGAUGGACAUGGCCAAUAGUGUAUUUUGUCAAAAAACAAAAACAAAACCCAAGAUUCCAGAAGCUGUUUCUGACAAGAAGUCCUUGUUUCAGUACUCUUCAGUAUGAGUCCUUACUUGCAGGACUGAGGAAUGAAAUUGAGAAAGAACCUUUAAUCAUUAGAAAAGGACCCAAUAAAACUAUACUUAAAUGGAUCAUUAAUGUGGAUUUUUUUACAUUCGUGUGGGAUAGAGAAUAAUCCCAUGGGAAACAAACACAUUUUGAAUAUUUUUUAAAGAAGUAUUUCUGAUUCUAAUUUUACUGUAUGUUUAGGCAUCAUUAAGGACCUCUGAUUUGAAGGUAGAUUUAUGUGCCAGGGACUCCAAAUUCAUGACAUGUUUUAAGGCUCCAUAUUCCAUGCAAAAAUGGACUUACUGAGCAUGGUGGUAAUAAUAAGUAUGUAAAAAAUAGAUAACUACAGUCGUACUUUGGUAUCCAUGGGGGAUUGGUUCCAGGAUCCCCCAGUAUCAAAAUCCACAAAUGCUCAAGUCCCAUAUAUAAAAUAGCAUAGUAUUUGCAUAUAACCUAUGCACAUCCUCCUGUAUGCUUUAAAUCAUUUCUAGAUUUCUUAUAAUAUCUAAUACAAUGCCUACACAUCACUUCAUUUACAUGAAUUCAACAUACUUCUUGGCAUGCAGCAAAUUCAAGUUUUGCUUUUUGAAACUUUGUAGAUUUUUUUUCAAAUAUUUUUGAUCCAAGGUUGGUUGAAUCCACGGACACAGAACCCAUGGAUUUGAAAGGCUGACUGUAUUUCUAUUUUAGGUUUGUUUUUCCUCCUCAGAAGCCUCAACGAAGAAAAAGUCAAAGGUCCUUCUCUCUCUAUGACCAGAAAUAAAACCUAUAAAGGAAAUAGAGCACUAAGUGGGGUCCCUGGAAUCCCCAGCUUCUGGUUUCCAGCCACUUCUAGAUGUUCUCUGGAAACAUAACUGCGUUGAAACCAUACUGAAGUAUAAAUUCCCAAAUUGGAAAGAAAACAAACAAACUUGGUAGUCUCAUGCCUGGGAGAUACGGAAGAUGGAAAAUUCUGGAAGACCAAUAGGCACUGAUGAAUUUCUACAUCUGGGCAUUUCUUGAGGGAGAGAGGGCCUGGCUAUUUGGAGAUGGAAAAUGUGGUGACCUAGAAUGAGCAGGCCCAGUCUAGACUAACCUCUUUAUUUAACCAACUGAAUAGUCUUGGUUCCAGACUUCUGUGGAACCUCAGAUUUGCCUUCUGUAUAAGAGGAGUUUGUACUAAUCCCUCUAGUCUUUUUCAGUUGGUUGUGUGUGACCAGCCCUAGCACUUAAAUACCCUGCUGAAUAUACAGAAAAGUAGAAGAAUUAUUUUAAAAUUAGGUCACUUAUCUUACUUGAAUACUACAAGUCUCACACUAUAACCUCUUCUAGAAAUCAGGCUGAACUAGCAAAUACAUAAAGACUAAUAUAAGUGCAUUUCAGUAAAAUCACUGGUGAAGUACAUUUAUGAUCAUUCUUUUUAGGCUUCUGAUAUGGCAAAUUAGAGGUAAGUAUUUCGAUUAAGUCUUCAUCCUUUUGGCAAACAAGUAUAUGGUUCGAUAUACUUGGUGAUGGUGAAUGAAGCCCUUAGUUUUUCACUUCUUCGUGCCUUAAUAAAAUCUUCGAGGCAAGCCCAAACCAGCAGGGCUGCAGCAUUAUCAGCAAUGAGAAUGGAUCUUAAGGUCAACAGUCAUGCUAUAAAACUCAACAUGAAGACAUCAUUAACAGGCUGAAGACUGUGAGUCUUAAAGUCCUGAAGUAGGCAGGUUUUAGGAGGUGGAAUCAGCGUCCUCUGGGUGGAACAGGUGGAG
rnacentral:lncRNA from 1 species